UACGUAGGUGGCAAGCGUUGUCCGGAGUUAUUGGGCGUAAAGCGCGCGCAGGCGGUGCGGUAAGUCUCUGGUGAAAGCGCUCGGCUUAACUGGGCGAGGGCCGGGGAGACUGCCACGCUGGAGGGGAGCAGAGGCGAGUGGAAUUCCGGGUGUAGUGGUGAAAUGCGUAGAGGUCCGGAGGAACACCAGUGGCGAAGGCGGCUCGCUGGGCUCUACCUGACGCUGAGGCGCGAAAGCGUGGGGAGCGAACCGG
rnacentral:rRNA from 1 species